ACGCUCCUGUUCUGGUAGCGUUCGUCUGCUUACGUCUACUGACUUUUCUCGCUGAAUAAAGUAUAACUGACUUGCUUUAUUUUACUAAAUUUACAUAGUGUCAUGCGAACGUCUGUAUGAUGUAACUAAUCUCUAUUAUGCAUAUGUCUUAGGCAGGGGGCAGACGAGCAGUUUGCUGCAGCGUCAUCGGCGCGAUAAUUUUCCACUGUGUUUUAGAAUACUGCUCGUUUGCACCAGGCAUUAAGAGCGUAUACGUAGCAGACCUCUUUUUCUUCUUCUUUUUUCCCUUUGUCGUCUAAACAACAACAUUUCUACACAUACAACAAUCUGCGCAUACAAUAGACAACACCGAAAUUUUGUUAUAUUUAAUUUUUAGCCAUAACGUGAUAUCACUCCAUCCUACACUCUACAUAUCACUACACAACAAACAACCCCAAUCAAGUAUGCACACUCAUCAUGGCUACCAUAUUUUCAAGACUGAACAGCAUCUAUAAAUAUGUCGAGAUAGUUUGUAAGCAGCUAUAGAUGUACUGUGCCUUCCAGAUCAACGGUUUGCUUUGUUACCAGGAGUGAAAUAAAUCGCGGAAGGAAGUCGUUGCUACCAUGACAAACAUUGUUUCCGCCGAUACAGCGAUGUGGCAAGGC
rnacentral:misc_RNA from 1 species